AUCAUUAGUGAACGCCCUCACGGGCUUAUAACUAUUCCAAACCUCUGUGAACCGUGCCCUUCGGGGCUAUUUUACAAACAUGGUGUAAUGAACGUCAUAUAUCAUAACAAAACAAAACUUUCAACAACGGAUCUCUUGGCUCUCGCAUCGAUGAAGAACGCAGCGAAAUGCGAUAAGUAAUGUGAAUUGCAGAAUUCAGUGAAUCAUCGAAUCUUUGAACGCACCUUGCGCCCUCUGGUAUUCCGGAGGGCAUGCCUGUUUGAGUGUCAUGUAGACUCAAUCCCUCGGGUUUCCGAGGAGGUUGGACUUGGGUGUUGCCGCUCUGCCGGCUCGCCUUAAAAGACUUAGCGGGAUAGCACCGUAGUCGGCGUAAUAAGUUUCGUCGGUGAAGGUUGUGAUGACUGCUUACAAUCGCCCUCGGGCAAUUUUUGACUCUGACCUCAAAUCAGGUAGGACUACCCGCUGAACUUAAGCAUAUCAAA
rnacentral:rRNA from 1 species